AGACCAGAGGUUCUCAUUUUGCUGUGGUUCUCAUUUUGCUGCAUGUCAGAACCUCCAGGAGAACUUUAAAAAACUCCUGAUGUCCAUGUUUCAGUCCAAAGCAGUUGCAUCAGAAUAGAGAGAAGGAGGUAGAGGUUAUAUGGAGCGGCUAUUGGGGCAUGUCUCAGUCCAUUAGAAGCCCAAAGAAACUUGGGAUUUGGGGAAGGACUUGGAUGAAGAUAAGUAAAGGGCAGGCAGGCUCUUUAUUCAGACUAUAUCCACCAUCCUAGAGAAAAGGGAUUUGACAUUUUUAAAUCGUGACCAAACUGGAAGAGAUUUGUAGUACUUUGAAGGUUGCCCUUCAAACGCAUUGGAAUCGUUGGCAUUGCUAAGUGAGGUGAUAUUCAACAGGGCUAUUUGAUGAGAUGUGACAGAUGCAAAAUGAAAAUUUUAGAUUAAUUUAGUAAGAGUAUUAAAAAAGCCAAAUGUCACCCAUCAAAUAGGUACAGACAAGAGGUGAGAAAAAGCAGGAGAAAGACAUACCCAGGAGCCCUAUGCGAGAGGCCACGCCCAUCCUGCCCACUGAUUGGACUGAGGCACACCUUUGGUGUAGAACUGGCUCUCAGGCAGGGGGAAGGUUGUCUGAAGAAGGUUCAAAAAAGUGCUUAUGUGGCUGGAAGUCUAGAAAGAAAUGAGCUGAUAGAGGUUUGCAAAGGAUGUUUGUGGAAGCAGAAUUUACAGAUUGUAGAUGAUGGAGAAAGAAGAAAUUCUGAUUCCACUCACUACAUCUUCAGCUCUUGAGAAGAGUGAGUAUGGACUGGGCCUCUUCCUGGGCCUUUUUGAAUAUCCUUAUGACAUGACAGCUGGCUUCCCACUGAGAAAGCAAUCUGAAGUGGAUUCCAAGUAUUACUCUGGCCGACUGCUCUGAUGGUAUUUGCGGGGAAAAUCUGUCAAGCUAAUAACGAAGAGUGUUCCAUUAUUAGAGUAUCAAUAAAUCCAAAGAGCUGACAGCAUGGGCAAAGUUCUACACUGAGAGAAAAAGCAAAUUGGAUCAACAGUGUUGUUCAUUAUCCUCCAUAUUAGAAAACAAUGCUGCUGGAGAGAAGGAGGUUAUUUCCUGGAGGGAAGACCCCGGUGUGACCUGCCUUUCUCACCACACUGCCUGGAUGCUGCCUCCCUCACAGCUGAGACUUGUAAGCCCAAUUUUAAACAAGGGAAGGAAUGCCUGCUUGUUAUUUUUUUCCUUCUGCACCCCUUCUCCCCAACCUCACUUCACAUUGCUAAACCAGGUCUUAUCCUAUCCCCUUUAACAUUCAACACAUGCAAUAUUAUGGUAUGACUUAAUCUCCAAAGAUCACUGUUCUGCAGUAGUAGUUGGAAGAAGAGGGAUAGCCAUACAUUCAGAUGUGUCCUCAUCCACACACACGAUGUAAAAGAAUUUCUCACAAAGCCCAGCAGUGUGGUACAGUGGUGAGGGCAACUGCCUUGAUUCUCAUUCUUCAUCUGCCUCUGACAACCUGGGCAAACUUGGACUUCUCUACUUAGUCUUCUCAUCUGGCAGAUGAUCUGCUAACUCCUUUCUAUUUCUAAAUGCUUUUCUGACUUGAGGGUUCCAGACCCAAGGGUGACAUUUCCAGACUGUGGGCCUGAGGAGUGGGGUUUUAAGGGAUUGUCGAGAGCCCAGGUGCACAGUGAGAGUGGGAUUAGAGAAGAAGCAAAAGCAAGCUUACCACUGGUCUUUGUUGUGGCCUAAGGGAAAUAUGAAUCAUGUGCUUUCCUCUCCAGAUUCAAAACCAUAUGAGAGAGAGAUGCAGGAGCCAGGGCUCAAAAGGUCAACCUAAUUACUGGCAACCUUGAACUGGAAACCUGGCUUGGGACUAGGCUCAAAUGGGCUUCCAACUCUUUCCCUCCCUGAUUGCACACCCUGUUCCAAGUUAAUAAUUUUUUUUUUUAUGUUUAGCACUUAAUAUGUGUUCUAAGUCCUUGACAUGGAAUAAAAACUCGCUUAAAUUUUACACUAAUCCGUUCGGGUAGAUACUAUUAUAUCCUUAUUUUAUAGGUGAAAACACUGGGGCACAGACAGGUUGAGUAAGGUUGUAGAGCUUGUAUGUGACAGAAUAGCACUGAUAACCUGGCAUCGUGCACGGGCUAUCACUACACUAGUCCCAAGCAUGCAAAGCACCUGGCAGAGGGGAAACUCCUUCUCCUGCAGAGCUGGUCCGGGGGAGCUGGGGAGAGUGGCGAGUGUGUGAGGGUCUGCAGGGGCCUUAAUGGGCCUUCUCCUUAUCUCACCAGUGAGAUGAAAGUCACUCCUUGGAGGAAUGAGUGAGCAGUGUCAGUGUUCUUCCAAGAGGACAGAUGUUUUUAUUAUGUGAGCCAAGGCAGGAACACAGGGAAAGAGGGAGAAAAUACCCUUGAAAGGCAGCUCAUUUCUUCAGAAUGCUAAGAAAUGCCACUGCCAUGAUCUCCAUUACAGGCCAAGAGAUAAGGGUUUGAUUGCCUUUUGGAGAAGUCCAGCCCCAGAAUGGUGUGAAGCAGGACAGGCUAUAUUAUUUGUA